ensembl:lncRNA
UAAAACGCCAGUAUUGAGUCUUUAUUGAACUUCCAUGGUACAGAAAGACCACAUUUCUACAGGAAUGCUACUAAAAAUCACAAGACUGGAUAUCUGGAGGAUUGCACGAGCUACGCAUGAUGCCACCAGCACUAAGUGGGAAUCUGUGUGUGUUUGUGUAACUGGUAGGGGGAGGGGAGGAGGGGGUCAUGCCUCAAAGCUGCUUAGAAAAGUUGCCAGACACAAAGUGACAUUUGGCUUUGAAAGGGUCUAAAAGACAUCACUCACUGAUAGGUAAAAUAGACAUUUUAUAAAUAAUAGAUUCAAAGCAACUCUCACAGGUGUAUACAUGCAGAUUCACAGGAGAUACAGAAACGAUGCUCCUUGAUGUUCUACUUUCCUUUGGUACACCCAAGACAGCUAAAAAAAUGAUGAUAAUAAUGUGAGAGGGAACAAUGGUGGUUUUGUUUUCCAGAUUGAGAUACUUGGCUGUCGGGUGAAAAGAAGAGGGGGGGAAAAAAGAAGAAAAACAUCUUGUUGUGCUAACAUCAGUCCUUUGAUCACAUGUGCAGUUCACUGAUACAUCAAUCUGUCUUUGUAGUGUACCAUCCAAACCUUUGGGAAACAUCGAUUUUCAGCAGGAACGGUUCCUCGCUUCCAUUCAUGUCCUGAAUAUUUGAAGUACCUGUGCAGCGUCCGGCAGAAAAAAAGGUUCGCCGAGAAAAGGUGAACGUCGGCCAGAUAAUUAAGAGAACAAAUCAUGAGGAAAAACUGAAACAAAAACAGGCUCCUCUGCAUAGUGCAGAGGGAUAUAGCCACACUAUUUGCAUUUCGGGCGCUCAAAGCGGGGAAUAAACAGCAGUUUUUGGAGCGUGACAUGUUAAACACAUUGGCUGCUGGCUACAGCCGUGCCAAACAGCUUUGUGAAAUGCCCCGUUCAGUGUGUGGAGGUGCUCAGAAUGGCUUUUUAACCAUCUACAAGCCUGUUAAUCUGAGCCAAAUUUGAGUGUCAUGUUAUGUAAAAAGAAGACUCUGCCGGGAUUGCCAUUAAUACUAAACAGCUUCACAUGUGGGGCUGGAUCGGUGAGAACGGUUGUGGAAGCACAGGUAGGGCAUUUCGGGGAUAAUGGGAUGCUUCAUGGUUGUUUAAACUGCUUGUUUGUGAAUUAGUCGUGGCGGGUCGAAGCUUAGCAGAGCUCGGGGCCAAAUAAAGGCUGGAAAACGGAGAACAUGUCACAGUGACGCAGAUCCACAUUAACAGAAAUUUACACCAAGCCAGAAGGAAGGAAGGACGGACGGACGGAGGAAAGGAGGGAGAUGAGUUCAGAUGUUCCUUUUUUUUGUUUUUUGUUUUUUUAGACCUCAGGGAAGCAGGAGUGUUUUGUGAUGGCUGGAUACCUGGGAUCCCUGAAUUCAUUUCACAGUUUAGAGAAAAUAAAAACGGUGCUGCGGGCGCACCCUCCGGUCUUGUUGAUGCUCCUCCUCAGGCCCCGUAGAAAUGUUUACCAUAUGGAAAAACAGUCACCUCAGAGGUUCACAACAGGGAUCCUGACACAGCAAGAGACACAGAGGAGAAGAGUGAGAGGGAUAGAAGGAAAGGAAGAAGCUGGGGAGGCCCGGCGAUGGAAGGAAAAGGCAGAAGAAGAGAGGAGAAGUGGAGCACAAAAGCCUGAAGCUGGAAAAGUUGUGUACAUGCAAAAGGAACGCUGCGUCGCAGGGGGACGGAGAGGGUGGCGGGGGGGGGAGGAAGAAACGGAAGAGCAGCGAGGAAGGAGGAGAGGAAGGUGGAGGUGAAGCUGAUGGGAGGGGAGGAAGUGAGAGGGGGAGCACUGGAGUGUAGCUCUAUAAUUAUCCUGAUUGAGAUUAACUUUAAAUACUCUCGAAUAUAAGCAUCAUUUCAUGGAUGGUGGUUGGGCGCCUUUUUUGAUAGGCCCAGGAUGACUCAUCCGGUGAGGGAGUUUAAAACACUGAUACAUCUUAGAGCAGCGCCAACACUUCAGGCCUGAAUACUCCACAGAGAAUAGCACCACCGUCCAAUUACACUCCAGGUACGUCCUUACAGUGCAUGCGAAAAGGUAAUACGGGUGCUUCACACACAGACACGGAAGAAAACUUCAAUCCAGGGGUUGCACGGCGACUCGCACACGCACAUGCGGCUUAGAGACUGACACAAACACGCACGCACGCGCACACACUCGGGCCGUGUAGAGCUGGUGAGGCGACUCAUUACCUCUCCCUGUCGGUGAAGGAGGAGGAGGUGCUGUGCAGCGUCUGCCGGCUGUCCUCCGAAGCAAGGGAGCGAGGGAGAGCGAGGGAGAGGGGGGGUGCUACGCCACGGGAAAGCGGGGGCGGAUGCUGGGAACAGCUGCGAUCGUAACUGGGAGAGAAAGGAUAGUCAGAUAGAUAGAUGGAGGAAGAGGAGGGGAGUAGGGGGACAAGAUUUGCAAAGGAUGAAGAGUUAAAGAGGCAAGCAGUCGGCAUGGAGUGGGACACAAGUGCGAGGACGAAGAGAGAUAAGACAAACGAGAAGAGAAACGGGGCAUAAACAGAUGCAAUAAAGUUAGUUUGAGUUUGAGACAGAUAUUACAGUAAGAGAGGGCGAGACGGAUACGAGGAAACGACAGAGAGAUUGAAAUGAAGAGAGGCGCGGAGAGGAACGAUAAGGAGAGCGAUCAGAAUGAAAGACACAGAGGGAGAAACGAAGUCAGAGAACAUCAGGAACAGCCGAUCCAUUUAGCAUCAGCGAACACAUUAUCCUGCCACUGUGAGAGAGAAUUAGUGCACUCAUCGGACUCAUUAAAACACUGUCGGAGAGGGGAGAGAGGGGGGGGGAGGGAGGCAGAGCGAGAAAUGGGGAAGGAGACUUCACUGUGAGAUGUGGGGAGGGAGUCAGAAGGUUGGAGGU